GCUGGGCAGGCCUGGCCUGUGCAGGUGCACCUGCAAGUAAAAUCCCUUCUCAGACUGGAGCUUCUCCUGGGGCUGCGCCAAGGUCCAUGAGGCCCUUGGGGGCUGAACUGUGCCUCCACUUCUGGGCCUCUGCCCUUCAUCCCCAAAAACUGUUGUCUGCAAAAAUCUGAUUAGUUACCUGGUAGCCCUUUUGCCAAACCUCUUCUUGAGCUCAAAGCGUCUGUUUGCAAAGGAAGACGAUGUCAGUGCUCCAGGGCAUAAAGAAGGGUGCAUGCUGCAGGGACGCACAGGGUAGGAGAGCUUGCGUUGUCUCAUUGCUGGCAUGGGAGUGUGCCAGAAAGGGAGCAGAAGGGAAAUGAUGUCUGAACAGAAGAGAGGAAUCCAUGAAAGGAAGAGAACGAGGAAUGGUUACAGGACUGGGAUGCUGUGGGGCUGUACUAGAAGCUGGCUGGCCCAGAGCAGCUAUACCUUUGAUGUAAAUGCAAUCACGUCACAGUUACAGCUCUCUGUUAAGUGAGAACUGAAAUAGUCAUGAUGUUUGACUAGAGACAAAACUGACUACAAACACAUGAGCUGGGGAUUGCUUUGAGUGCUAUCUGUGAAAAUUAGGUGGCUAGAGUAUGGUGGAAAACAAUAAAAAAGUCAAAGCACUUACAGUGUGAACCUGAUGUAAGCAACAAAAAUGCUUCCUCAGUGUUCUGGGAGACAGGACUUCAUGUUCACUGUGUAAAGAAAUAGAAUUGAAUCAAAGAAUCCCCAACUGUAUUAUAAAUUCCUUUCUUAAUGGCAAAAACAACAACAACAAAAAGCCUUCAUGAGCAUCUCAAAUACUUGCUAAGCCUUUGAGCAAAAAUCAGCUCAACACUGAGAACUGCAUGAAGGCAUAUCAGUCUCAGAGGGAGUAAGGGUGGAAGGAAGCUGACAGAAAACAAUGUAAAUGAGGAUGAAAGUAGUGGGAGUUUGGAAGACUAAGCAAAAGAAAAGUUUAUAGACACUUGAGAAUACAAUGAGUGCCAGGAAAACAAAUGGCAAAUAUAGGAAUGAGAAGUGUUGACAUCCAUGGGGAAAUGAUUUCUUUACAUGGACAUAAUAUCUCCAUCAAUGUGUUCCAGAAAUGAAUGGCAGAAUGAGGCACAGAAAAACAUUUGCACUAAAAGAAGGCGCCAGACGGAGCUGAGCGCUUCGACCCAAAGUCUAUUCGUUUUGCUGUUCUACUGAUUCAUUCACAUGAUGUCAGGUGACGGCAAAGCACGACCCGCCGUGCCACCAUCAAACCUAACCAUGCUUAGAACCACACUUAUUCCCGCAAAUCAAAGUUCAGCUUCCCCAGAGGGGCAAUUGUCGCCCCGCUCCGGCCGCCUGCCCCGCCGUGCCCGGGCGGCCCCCGGGUGGGGCCGG